rnacentral:rRNA from 1 species
GACGAACGCUGGCGGCGUGCUUAACACAUGCAAGUCGAACGGAAAGGCCCUGCUUUUGUGGGGUGCUCGAGUGGCGAACGGGUGAGUAGCACGUGAGUAACCUGCCCUUGACUUUGGGAUAACUUCAGGAAACUGGGGCUAAUACCGGAUAGGAGCUCCUGCUGCAUGGUGGGGGUUGGAACGUUUCGGCGGUUGGGGAUGGACUCGCGGCUUAUCAGCUUGUUGGUUGGGUAGUGGCUUACCAAGGCUUUGACGGGUAGCCGGCCUGAGAGGGUGACCGGCCACAUUGGGACGGAGAUGAGGCCCAAAGUCAUACGGGAGGCAGCAGUGGGGAAUAUUGCACAAUGGGCGGAAGCCUGAUGCAGCAACGCCGCGUGCGGGAUGACGGCCGUCGGUUUGUAAACCGCUUUCGCCUGUGACGAAGCGUUAGUGACGGGAAUGGGUAAAGAAGCACCGGCUAACUACGUG